UGUGAAAUUGGAGAUAUGGCAAGAGCCAC
rnacentral:sRNA from 1 species